CACAGGUAGGGACAGUCCUGCUCCUCAGCCUCAAACGAGUCUCUUUCUCUGAGGAUUGUGGAUUUCCCCCCCCUGGAGCUGGUUGAUAAUAUCGGAUGAUUGACAGAUGGCUUCCCCAUUUACAGAGAUGGAGGGCAUCACUGUCCUGUUCUCUCUUGUGAUGUUCAGCUUGUUCACACUGGCUGGCAUGUUGAAGGAAACAUAUAUGGAGAUCCAAGAAAGAAGAGAAGACAGAAGUGGGAAGCCCGAUCAGGAGCUGCUCAUAGUCUGACACGCCGGAUAAUCCAGUCCAGGCAGACACCGCAAUGCCUGCUGGAUAUGAAAGCGCUGUGUUUUAUGGCUCCUGUCAGGCUGUAGAGUUGCUGGCAGGGCGUCAGCACGCCUGCUGUCUCCUGGCCUACGUGCGCUCGGCCAGCUCACAGAUGUUACCUCUUAAGUCAAAAGGAUGGCUCUUUAAUUAAUAAUGGCUGUCCGGCAACACUUGACAAACCUGCACGCCAUUGAUCGAUUGCGAAGUGCUUCUCGGGGAAAGACUGGAUCACAGUGAGACAUUACAGUGUACAGUGCUGUCUCUUCUUCUCAGCUUUUUUUUUUGAUAUAAGGGCUGUAGGCGUCUUCAUGUUUGUCGGUUUGAACGAGAAUUCGCAGCAAUCGCUGCCUUAGCUGCUGUGGAACUGAGGUGUGAAAAAAUCAAUCAACGUGUGAUCAGACCAAGAAGAUGAUUCUCUGAUUUUUGAGAGUGGAGAAGGCCAGACGUGGCCAUCCCGCUAUAAAUCUCCCAUCACCAUGAGUACAAUAACCUGUAUGUUUACAUAGCUUUCUCAUUGGCAAUAAACAGCUCAUGACCCUUU